rnacentral:lncRNA from 1 species
AUUUGUUUGAACGGGUGUAAUAUCUCAGAUUUAGAAUUUAAGAUGUAUCCUAAAAUCAAAUUAAAAAAAUAGAUACUCACUUUGAAUAGAUUUAUUAUUUUAAUCACUAAAAGUUUUUGUUCCGCUCUAAAAUUAGUAUAAACUAUCCAUUAAAUCCGUAAAUGAAAACUGAAGUGACUAACGACAGUACACAAAAAAUCACAAAUAACUCGAAUCAUUUGAAUUUUAAUGUGAUUUGAAAUUUGAAGUUUUUCAAAAGGUUCUAAUAAAAUCAUUGCCAAGUUGAUAAAUAAUAGCAAGGCGAACAAAAAAAAUGUAAAUCAGAGUAGUUUAAAAGAAGUUGAUAAAUUUAGGGGAAGAACAACUUCGAAGGAGAAUAAUAGUUGAAAAUAAAUAAGGAAAAGCCUCAGAUUAGCAUAUUGGCACAUUCAUCAAAGCAAACAACAACCCAUGUAGAUGGAUCUACACGGUGCGCUUUAUUUGUUGUUGCAGCUCUUGCCCAUUUCUUCUCCUCAUCAGCUUUUUAUUCCCCUCAAAUCGUAAUAAAUAAAUUAAACAAAAACAAAUCCACUGAUAAUUUCCAAAAUAUUUUCAUAAAUUUGAAGAAAAAACAUUAAUAAUAAAGUCAGGUGAUAUUUUCGAAACUCACUUAAAAGCAAGCUCGUCGCUAGAAAAAUGAAGAUCGGUUGCCAUCAACGACUGGAGAAGAUGAACUCAAAAGGGAAGAUUAUAUGGAAGCUAUGCGGGGAUUAGGUUUAGGGGCGUAGGGCUUCUUGAUUUUAUCAGUUCGAAACUUUGCGGGCCUUUCGGUAUAGCCCUUCAAAAUUUUGGUUAAUU